CCUACGGGUGGCAGCAGUGAGGAAUAUUGGUCAAUGGGCGCGAGCCUGAACCAGCCAAGCAGCGUGAGGGAGGAAUGUCCUACGUAUUGUAAACUUCUUUUAUCAAGGAAUAAAGUCAGGCACGUGUCCCUUUAUGUGUGUAUUUUAUGAAAAAGGAUCGGCUAACUCCGUGCCAGCAGCCGCGGUAAUACGGAGGAUCCGAGCGUUAUCCGGAUUUAUUGGGUUUAAAGGGAGCGUAGAUGGGUUGUUAAGUCAGUUGUGAAAGUUUGCGGCUCAACCGUAAAAUUGCAAUUGAUACUGGCAGCCGUGAGUACAGUUGAGGUAGGCGGAAUUCGUGGUGUAGCGGUGAAAUGCUUAGAUAUCACGAAGAACUCCGAUGGCGAAGGCAGCAUACUAAACUGCCACUGACACUGAUGCUCGAAAGCGUGGGUAUCAAACAGGAUUAGAUACCCUAGUAGUC
rnacentral:rRNA from 1 species